rnacentral:rRNA from 1 species
AUUGAACGCUGGCGGUAUGCCUUACACAUGCAAGUCGAACGGUAGAGGGGCAACCCUUGAGAGUGGCGAACGGGUGAGUAAUACAUCGGAACGAGCCCAGUCGUGGGGGAUAACGUAGCGAAAGCUACGCUAAUACCGCAUACGACCUGAGGGUGAAAGCGGGGGAUCUUCGGACCUCGCGCGAUUGGAGCGGCCGAUGGCAGAUUAGGUAGUUGGUGGGGUAAAGGCCUACCAAGCCUGCGAUCUGUAGCUGGUCUGAGAGGACGACCAGCCACACUGGGACUGAGACACGGCCCAGACUCCUACGGGAGGCAGCAGUGGGGAAUUUUGGACAAUGGGCGCAAGCCUGAUCCAGCCAUACCGCGUGCGGGAAGAAGGCCUUCGGGUUGUAAACCGCUUUUGUCAGGGAAGAAAUCUUCUGGGCUAAUACCUCGGGAGGAUGACGGUACCUGAAGAAUAAGCACCGGCUAACUACGUGCCAGCCGCCGCCGUAACAC